ACGCUGGCGGCAGGCCUAACACAUGCAAGUCGAGCGGUAGAGAGAAGCUUGCUUCUCUUGAGAGCGGCGGACGGGUGAGUAAUGCCUAGGAAUCUGCCUGGUAGUGGGGGAUAACGUUCGGAAACGGACGCUAAUACCGCAUACGUCCUACGGGAGAAAGCAGGGGACCUUCGGGCCUUGCGCUAUCAGAUGAGCCUAGGUCGGAUUAGCUAGUUGGUGGGGUAAUGGCUCACCAAGGCUACGAUCCGUAACUGGUCUGAGAGGAUGAUCAGUCACACUGGAACUGAGACACGGUCCAGACUCCUACGGGAGGCAGCAGUGGGGAAUAUUGGACAAUGGGCGAAAGCCUGAUCCAGCCAUGCCGCGUGUGUGAAGAAGGUCUUCGGAUUGUAAAGCACUUUAAGUUGGGAGGAAGGGUUGUAGAUUAAUACUCUGCAAUUUUGACGUUACCGACAGAAUAAGCACCGGCUAACUCUGUGCCAGCAGCCGCGGUAAUACAGAGGGUGCAAGCGUUAAUCGGAAUUACUGGGCGUAAAGCGCGCGUAGGUGGUUUGUUAAGUUGGAUGUGG
rnacentral:rRNA from 1 species